rnacentral:lncRNA from 1 species
AUCAUCAUGAUUUUCUUUUUGAGGAAGAUGCUUUCCCCUAUUCUCUUGUAGAUUAACCGUCAAACUCACAUAUGAGGUCAAAAUGAUGGGAUCAAAAGUGAUAAGGGGAAAAUGAAAGAAGAUCAUAUUUAAGUUGUUCGAUUCGAGAAAGAAAUAUUCAGAUUUGACUUAGAAAGAAGAAACCAAAAAAAAAAAAUUAGGAAACAAGAAAAACAAAGAAAAUAAUUAAAACAAGAAAUUUAAGAAUAAAAUAAAAAGUGAAAGUUGGACUGAGUAAACCGAUAGAUAUGAUGGAUAGAUGGAUAAGUAUCCAAUUGAACCCUUUGAGAUAUAAACCCCAACAAAUUCAAUUAAUGACUCUACUCAAACCUCCAAGAAAUAAUCAUUUUCAAAUUGAAGGAUGAAGAAUGAAU